UUUUAUUUUUUUUUAACCACCUGACUCUCACUCCUCUCUUCCUCACUUUUCCACCACUCCUUUCCCUUUGUUGAUCACAGACCCAUGCCCAAACUCGACUCCACUGCGCCGCCACCAAGCCCAAGGAGGCCAAGCUCUAGGGCGACCGCUUCGAGGAGGGCCUCACCGACGCCGUUGUGUGCUUCACUGAUACAUUCGAGCGCUUCACCAACGCCGACAAGCACUUCACCGAGUCCAUUUCCUUCGACAAAUCCCUUUACAAGCAUGAUAUCAUGGGAAGCAAGGCCCACGCCUCAGUGCUCCCCAAACAGGGAUUCAUCACUGUUUUGGGUUUAGGGUUUAGGGCCCAGGCCGCCUAGGCGCUGGGUCUCCGCCGCGAUUAAUGUCGAAUCGGUGGAGCUGGGCUGUUGGGGUUUCGGCGGCCACCUAGGCGUCCUAAACGGGCGACUGGGCACCUGUGCGUUUGGGCGGAUUGGCCUGGGCGGUUCUGCCAUCAGAUUUGGUUUUGAUUUGGAUUCUUUUCGGCAACGACGGAGGUCCGAUCCUCAACUGCGAUAGAACUUUCUUGUGUUUCUGAGUUUUGGUGAGGUGGGUCGAUCUGAUUUUGGGGUGUGGAUUGGUGAGAUUAAUCAGUUUUGCUGAUUGGAUUCGGUGGAACAAAAAGUUAUCUGGGUUGGAUCUGAAAUAGUAUACCUGACCUGACUGACCUGAGUCUCUCUAUUUCUCUCUUCUCCUCAGAGUCCUUGUGCCGUAGAUGGAUACUCCCUCUUCUUCGAUCGAUAAGUUCAUGUCCAGGGAGGAAUCUGGGAAAUGGUUUGGAGGGAAGGUCCUUGUAUUAGCAAAUUGUUUUUGCAAUUGCCGUUUUUGUUACAAGUGGGCUUAUUAAUGGAGUCAAAACUGGUCUUCGUCUGCCUUUUGUUUUUUUGAUGACUGGUCUUCGUCUGCUUGAUUCUUAUCAAUGCAAUUGGGUUUUCCAUUGUAUAAGCUUUUUUGCUAUUCUAUAUUUUUAUUAUUGAUUUGAGACCAUGGAUUGGCCUUGGUUGCUGUGAAAUUGAUCUAAAAUUGGAGAGAGGCAGUGAUCUCAUCUUGGGUAAAAAGAGGCAGUGAUCUUUUUACUUGGAAAACUUCAUGAUCAGGUCUUUUAGUACUCGAGUCAUGAUAAAUAAGCUAUCGAUAUGUUUUCUCAGUAGACAUGCACGACAGGAAAAAUUGGCUAAUAAUUAAGUCAUCCUUAGUAGAGAUGAACAGGUGAGGCUAGCUUUUAAAUUGGAGGGUGCAGUUUGGUUCUUCACUUAGAGAUGCUGGAGGGAAUAAUGAGGGAUAUUGAGGUUAGCAAUUAGUAGUGAAGAUAGUAAAGAUAGCGAUGAGGGAUUGGAAACUAUGAUAUGAAGGUUCCGGUGCAUAAAAACAUUUUAAAUUUGUCACAUUCACUUAGCAAUUGCUUUUGGGCCUAAUAGUACUUCAUGAUCGAGGUACUGUACUGUUAGGGAGAAUCAUCUCACGUAUAUACCAUUGUCCAUUGAUAUUUUUUAUUGCGCACUAUGAACCAUUAGUGGCCUUAUUGCAUGCAGACUUCAAUACAUUGAUACUUUUAUACAAUGCAAACAGGUAACAACUGUAUUAAUACUUAUAGUGUAGUAGUGUACAAAGAACAAAGCAUCGGUACUUUGUAUACAAAGCAUCUGCAUUUUUUAGUACCAAAAGCUUUGGCUUGAUGUACUUUGCUAUACCUCUUUAUUCAGACUCUGCUACCAUGUACGAGUGAUGUCCUUAAUUAUAUAUAUUGCUUGAUCGAUGACAUUACAUCUAUAGCUAGCUUCAUAUGUCAAUAAAUAGUUUAUUUGAGUGAAAAGUAUUAGGUGUCCAUGGAACCUUAUUGAACAGAGAAAAAGGAACACCUUGCUCAUUUGUGAAGAUGAAAAACCGAAACACUUUGAUACUUUGAAUAUGCCAUUUUCUUCAAGGCUAGACCUAUAUAUAUAAUCAUCCAGUAAUGCUCCCAAGUCAUACUUUGUUGGCAUGAAUCAGUUAAUUAGGCAGGUGUUUACUUAUUGAGAGAUGUUGAGGUUCGCAAUUAGCAAAAGUAUAGUGAAUUAACUUUGUGUAUGUCUUAUCUUCUUCAUAAUAAAGACAAAGUGUCUCUCUUUCUAGUUUUGCAUUCGUAACUUAAAUAUUACACCAGCCAUGCAUUUUGCUAUUACUUACUUUUAGUUGAAUUCAUGGAUGCCAAGCCAUUGCUUUUAAAGAAUGAGCACAUACUAGUCACACAAAUACAUGGUGUGCAAAGUGUUGGAUUAAUUAAUUUAUGUCAACUAGAGAACUAACUAUAAAAUGGACAAUGUUUUGGAAGUAGUCAGCACACUUUCAGCAAAAUGUCUACAGAGUAACUCGCUGGAUUUUGAUAUUUGGAGCAAUGAUUGAAGAUUGAGUUUCUUUUAUGGGGUUUCAGUUAGUUUUUGGUUCAUGACAGAUACCAAAGACUGAACUGUGUCUUUGUUAAGAAGUUUUGGUGUGGAGUACAUUUGGUUGACUGUUAUCUGAUUUUUUUUUUCUUCUGUUUUUGCAGGUUGCCGGAUUUUGUGUUGGGACUUGGUAUAUUCGUUUCUUCUUUUGCUUAAGAUUACAUAUGGAAAACAUACACAGUAUUUUGCAUCUUAUAUUAGUAUAUUACUCUUAGUCCAGGCUUUAAGCUUGUCACUUUGAUCAUCAACUUUGAAUAUUUUCCCUUCUUGCUCAUCAUUUUCAGGGUUCAACCUUUGCAUAAUGAACAAAUUAUCUGACCCCAGUUGAUGCUAUAUAUGUGCGUGCUGGACUAUAUUGUCUGAUGCAGUUAGGAGGAGAUUGGGCAGAUGCAGACAACGAUUCAACUACCUUUUGUAACUUUUAGUAUGCUAAAGAACAGCUUGAGUAAUUCGUGGUUUGUUCGAUUCAACAUAGUAUAAAUAUGUUAUGUGAUUUGGUGUAGUUUAUGAAUACCUGGAAUGUUUAUGAGUGGCAUUUUAUAUUUUUAUGACAUUUUGUAUUGCACAAUUUCAUUAGUUUUAUUGUAAGUUUACAAUGUUAAUAUA